rnacentral:rRNA from 1 species
ACUCUAUUUGAUUUUCUUCGGAAAUGAAGAUUUUGUGACUGAGUGGCGGACGGGUGAGUAACGCGUGGGUAACCUGCCUCAUACAGGGGGAUAACAGUUGGAAACGACUGCUAAUACCGCAUAAGCGCACAGGACCGCAUGGUCCGGUGUGAAAAACUCCGGUGGUGUGAGAUGGACCCGCGUUUGAUUAGCUGGUUGGUGGGGUAACGGCCUACCAAGGCGACGAUCAAUAGCCGACCUGAGAGGGUGACCGGCCACAUUGGGACUGAGACACGGCCCAAACUCC